CCUACGGGUGGCUGCAGUGGGGAAUAUUGGACAAUGGGGGGAACCCUGAUCCAGCCAUGCCGCGUGUGUGAAGAAGGCCCUCGGGUUGUAAAGCACUUUCAGUGAGGAAGAACGCCUGGUGGUUAAUACCCAUCAGGAAAGACAUCACUCACAGAAGAAGCACCGGCUAACUCCGUGCCAGCAGCCGCGGUAAUACGGAGGGUGCGAGCGUUAAUCGGAAUUACUGGGCGUAAAGCGCGCGUAGGUGGCUUGAUAAGCCGGUUGUGAAAGCCCCGGGCUCAACCUGGGAACGGCAUCCGGAACUGUCAAGCUAGAGUGCAGGAGAGGAAGGUAGAAUUCCCGGUGUAGCGGUGAAAUGCGUAGAGAUCGGGAGGAAUACCAGUGGCGAAGGCGACCUUCUGGACUGACACUGACACUGAGGUGCGAAAGCGUGGGUAGCAAACAGGAUUAGAUACCCGAGUAGUC
rnacentral:rRNA from 1 species